rnacentral:rRNA from 1 species
CCUACGGGAGGCAGCAGUAGGGAAUCUUGCGCAAUGGAGGAAACCCUGAUGCAGCGACGCCGCGUGAGUGAAGAAGUAAUUCGUUAUGUAAAACUCUAUCAGCAGGGAAGAAAAUGACGGUAACUGAGUAAGAAGCCCCGGCUAACUACGUGCCAGCAGCCGCGGUCAUACGUAGGGGGCAAGCGUUAUCCGGAUUUACUGGGUGUAAAGGGAGCGUAGACGGCAGUGCAAGUCUGGAGUGAAAGGCGGGGGCUCAACCCCCGGACGGCUUUGGAAACUGUACGGCUGGAGUGCAGGAGAGGUAAGUGGAAUUCCUAGUGUAGCGGUGAAAUGCGUAGAUAUUAGGAGGAACACCAGUGGCGAAGGCGGCUUACUGGACUGUAACUGACGUUGAGGCUCGAAAGCGUGGGGAGCAAACAGGAUUAGAUACCCCAGUAGUC